AUUGAACGCUGGCGGCAGGCCUAACACAUGCAAGUCGAGCGGUAGCACAGAGAGCUUGCUCUCGGGUGACGAGCGGCGGACGGGUGAGUAAUGUCUGGGAAACUGCCUGAUGGAGGGGGAUAACUACUGGAAACGGUAGCUAAUACCGCAUAAUGUCGCAAGACCAAAGUGGGGGACCUUCGGGCCUCAUGCCAUCAGAUGUGCCCAGAUGGGAUUAGCUAGUAGGUGGGGUAACGGCUCACCUAGGCGACGAUCCCUAGCUGGUCUGAGAGGAUGACCAGCCACACUGGAACUGAGACACGGUCCAGACUCCUACGGGAGGCAGCAGUGGGGAAUAUUGCACAAUGGGCGCAAGCCUGAUGCAGCCAUGCCGCGUGUGUGAAGAAGGCCUUCGGGUUGUAAAGCACUUUCAGCGGGGAGGAAGGCGGUGAGGUUAAUAACCUCAUCGAUUGACGUUACCCGCAGAAGAAGCACCGGCUAACUCCGUGCCAGCAGCCGCGGUAAUACGGAGGGUGCAAGCGUUAAUCGGAAUUACUGGGCGUAAAGCGCACGCAGGCGGUCUGUCAAGUCGGAUGUGAAAUCCCCGGGCUCAACCUGGGAACUGCAUUCGAAACUGGCAGGCUAGAGUCUUGUAGAGGGGGGUAGAAUUCCAGGUGUAGCGGUGAAAUGCGUAGAGAUCUGGAGGAAUACCGGUGGCGAAGGCGGCCCCCUGGACAAAGACUGACGCUCAGGUGCGAAAGCGUGGGGAGCAAACAGGAUUAGAUACCCUGGUAGUCCACGCCGUAAACGAUGUCGAUUUGGAGGUUGUGCCCUUGAGGCGUGGCUUCCGGAGCUAACGCGUUAAAUCGACCGCCUGGGGAGUACGGCCGCAAGGUUAAAACUCAAAUGAAUUGACGGGGGCCCGCACAAGCGGUGGAGCAUGUGGUUUAAUUCGAUGCAACGCGAAGAACCUUACCUGGUCUUGACAUCCACAGAACUUUCCAGAGAUGGAUUGGUGCCUUCGGGAACUGUGAGACAGGUGCUGCAUGGCUGUCGUCAGCUCGUGUUGUGAAAUGUUGGGUUAAGUCCCGCAACGAGCGCAACCCUUAUCCUUUGUUGCCAGCGGUUCGGCCGGGAACUCAAAGGAGACUGCCAGUGAUAAACUGGAGGAAGGUGGGGAUGACGUCAAGUCAUCAUGGCCCUUACGACCAGGGCUACACACGUGCUACAAUGGCAUAUACAAAGAGAAGCGACCUCGCGAGAGCAAGCGGACCUCAUAAAGUAUGUCGUAGUCCGGAUUGGAGUCUGCAACUCGACUCCAUGAAGUCGGAAUCGCUAGUAAUCGUAGAUCAGAAUGCUACGGUGAAUACGUUCCCGGGCCU
rnacentral:rRNA from 1 species